rnacentral:rRNA from 1 species
UACGUAGGGGGCAAGCGUUAUCCGGAUUUACUGGGUGUAAAGGGAGCGUAGACGGCAGCACAAGUCUGGAGUGAAAUCCCGGGGCUUAACCCCGGAACUGCUUUGGAAACUGUGCGGCUGGAGUGCAGGAGGGGUAAGCGGAAUUCCUAGUGUAGCGGUGAAAUGCGUAGAUAUUAGGAGGAACACCGGUGGCGAAGGCGGCUUACUGGCCUGUAACUGACACUGAGGCUCGAAAGCGUGGGGAGCAAACAGG